UAGGGAAUCUUCCGCAAUGGACGCAAGUCUGACGGAGCAACGCCGCGUGAGUGAAGAAGGAUUUCGGUUCGUAAAACUCUGUUGUUAGAGAAGAACAGCGCAUAGAGUAACUGUUAUGCGUGUGACGGUAUCUAACCAGAAAGCCACGGCUAACUACGUGCCAGCAGCCGCGGUAAUACGUAGGUGGCAAGCGUUGUCCGGAUUUAUUGGGCGUAAAGCGAGCGCAGGCGGUCAAUUAAGUCUGAUGUGAAAGCCCCCGGCUCAACCGGGGAGGGUCAUUGGAAACUGGUUGACUUGAGUGCAGAAGAGGAGAGUGGAAUUCCAUGUGUAGCGUUGAAAUGCGUAGAUAUAUGGAGGAACACCAGUGGCGAAGGCGACUCUCUGGUCUGUAACUGACGCUGAGGUUCGAAAGCGUGGGUAGCAAACAGG
rnacentral:rRNA from 1 species